rnacentral:lncRNA from 1 species
GGAGAUUGAAAAUACAGUUUAAAUUUGUUUUUAAGUAUUUUAGACUGAAGAAAAAUAUAUGCAUUUUAUUUCAACCUAUUUUAUUUCAACCUAGUUUUCCUAACGAAAAGAGAUUUAUAUCAUCAAAUUAUUUGUCCAUCUGGUGCCUAAUAACUCAAUACAACCAAAUUUGAGUAAUGGUUUUAAUGAAGAGGAGAAAGCAACAAUAAAGACAAUACCAUGUUGUGAGUUCAACAGUCAGGCCCUUGGCAGGGUCUACACUGCCUGUGCCUUGCUUGGUGCAGGGAGGGCAGAAGGACAAGGUGAAAAGAAGCUGAGGAUAUUGAGAGACUUUGGAGGACACUGGGGUAUUGAGAUAAGAAGCUGGUGGAGACAAUACAGAAGGUGGACUCCUCCAUGUGAAAACAGCUAGAUUGUCAGAUGACUCAUAUGCUUUGAUUUGAAAUAAGUGAAUCUGCAGACACACAUCUUAUUUGUAUCGCUGCCUUUUGUCAGUGUGAAUUAGCGAGGCUUUCAAAAAGCUGUGUAAUUUAGAACAGUUUACAGUUGCUAUUAUACUGUUAGGGUAUUUUGUUUUCUUCACAUCCAACAUUAUUGUUUAAGUGUUUGUUGUGCUAUGAUCAAGAGGCCGUUGCAGAGAAUACUUGUCUUUCCAUUGGCUGCAGGAAACUCCAUAUCAGCUUUUAAGAACUCUUUGACUCAUACCACUAACUUCCUAUCCAGAAUAAGGCACUUUCAGCCCUUCUGUUGUUGAGUCCAAAGAAAGCUCUUAGUCUGUAUUCAGAAGAAAAUAACAAUUGUUUAAGUUUAUGUAAAAUACAUGCAUUUACUUAAGUAAAUGCAUUUGUGUAGAUGGUCUUGAUCAAGCUGAAAGACACUUCCACAUGGAGGAUUACUACCGUGAGCCAGGUUAACAGGAGUGGGCAGUACCAGCAGCCUGAAGCAUAUUCAGUUGCUUCUAAUGCUAUUUUCAAACUGUUGAUAUAUCAAUGAGGAAAACCAAUUUCUGUAUAAAUUCUUGCAUGAUUUCAAAGGGAAAUAUCAGUCAUUUUGGGGGGUAAUUUCAAACACUUAUCUAAUAACUGUUAAUGACAUAAGGAAUAGAAAAAAUACCUGAGCCUCAUAUUGUUAAGAGAAAAACAGUGAACAGAGUGGAGAAUGGGAAUACAGAGAAUAAAGAGAGUAAGGAGCAAUGAAACA